rnacentral:tRNA from 1 species
GGGGACGUAGCUCAGUUGGUAGAGCACCUGCUUUGCAAGCAGGGGGUCGGCGGUUCGAGCCCGCUCGUCUCCACCA